UAGCGGAGAUAGUGCUGCUGUAGCUCCGCAAGUGAAGCGGACAGUGCACUGGUGAAUCGAUUGCUGCUGCCUCGGCUCGCCAGCACCAACGACUGUUGCACGACUCUUCAUUACUACUACGCGCGUGUGCUGUCAGCGGUGGGAUAUGAUGCGAUGAAGAAAGCUUGGACAACCAGCGUUAAUGCAUCGGUGCUGGAAGAUGUUGACAGCAAUGGAAGCAAUGACAGCAAUGAAUUUCAAACCGUUUUCCAAAAAGAAGAGCCCCUUGUUCACAUUGUACACAGUGUAUUGGGCCAGUAAAAAAGCUGCUGAGCCGCUUUAUGAGGCAUGAGGCCUACUGCAACUUGUCUGGCAGUGAGUUGAAACAACUUGAUGUCAGGUCACCAGAAGGGCGGAAGCAAGUUUUGGAAAUCGGAUCCGACACUGAAAAAUAAAUGCGUAACUGGGA